rnacentral:lncRNA from 1 species
AUGUCGUACUGGCGGACAUUGUGCGAAUCUUCAUCAGAGCCCAUGUACAAGUACAACUUGGAGAAAAUGUAUAACCGACUCGUGGUUGCCAACCGAGAAAGUAAGUGUCUAUGAUUACGUCUACGAAAACUGGCUCAAAGACUAUAAAGAAAUGUUCGUUUAUGCGUGGACCGAUAAGUGUCGCAACUUUGGUCAGCGCACCACCAACAGAGUUGAGAGCCAGCACGCAAAUUUAAAAAGAUACAUUACGCGCGGGAGUUCAUUGGAGCGAAUAGCAAGAUGCAUC